rnacentral:rRNA from 1 species
UACAGAGGUCCCAAGCGUUGUUCGGAUUUACUGGGCGUAAAGGGUGCGUAGGUGGCGGGGUAAGUCUGGUGUGAAAGCUCCGAGCUCAACUCGGAAAAGCAUUGGAAACUAUCCCGCUUGAGGGUCGGAGGGGAGACUGGAAUUCCAGGUGUAGCGGUGAAAUGCGUAGAUAUCUGGAAGAACACCAGUGGCGAAGGCGGUCAACUGGCCCGUAACUGACGCUGAGGCACGAAAGCGUGGGUAGCGAACAGG